ACCUGGCUGGCUCAGUCGGAAGAGCAUGAGACUCUCAAUCUCGGGGUCAUGAGUUCAAGCCCCAUGGUGGGUG